rnacentral:rRNA from 1 species
GACGAACGCUGGCGGCGUGCUUAACACAUGCAAGUCGAACGGUAAGGCCCUUCGGGGUACACGGGUGGCCAACGGGUGAGUAACACGUGGGUGAUCUGCCCUGCACUUCGGGAUAAGCCUGGGAAACUGGGUCUAAUACCGGAUAGGACCACUGCCUGCAUGGGUGGUGGUGGAAAGCUUUUGCGGUGUGGGAUGGGCCCGCGGCCUAUCAGCUUGUUGGUGGGGUGAUGGCCUACCAAGGCGACGACGGGUAGCCGGCCUGAGAGGGUGACCGGCCACAGUGGGACUGGGAGAAGGCCCAGACUCAUACGGGAGGCAGCAGUGGGGAAUAUUGCACAAUGGGCGCAAGCCUGAUGCAGCGACGCCGCGUGAGGGAUGACGGCCUUCGGGUUGUAAACCUCUUUCAGCACCGACGAAGCGCAAGUGACGGUAGGUGCAGAAGAAGGACCGGCCAACUACGUGCCAGCCGCCGCCGUAA